GAUGAACGCUGGCGGCGUGCCUAAUACAUGCAAGUCGAGCGAACAGAUAAGGAGCUUGCUCCUUUGACGUUAGCGGCGGACGGGUGAGUAACACGUGGAUAACCUACCUAUAAGACUGGGAUAACUUCGGGAAACCGGAGCUAAUACCGGAUAACAUAUUGAACCGCAUGGUUCAAUAGUGAAAGGCGGCUUUGCUGUCACUUAUAGAUGGAUCCGCGCCGUAUUAGCUAGUUGGUAAGGUAACGGCUUACCAAGGCAACGAUACGUAGCCGACCUGAGAGGGUGAUCGGCCACACUGGAACUGAGACACGGUCCAGACUCCUACGGGAGGCAGCAGUAGGGAAUCUUCCGCAAUGGGCGAAAGCCUGACGGAGCAACGCCGCGUGAGUGAUGAAGGUCUUCGGAUCGUAAAACUCUGUUAUCAGGGAAGAACGAAUGUGUAAGUAACUGUGCACAUCUUGACGGUACCUGAUCAGAAAGCCACGGCUAACUACGUG
rnacentral:rRNA from 1 species